rnacentral:ncRNA from 1 species
CAACAGGGGUGCCUAUUGGCUGAGAGAUACCCUUUGACCUGAUCUAGUUAGUACUAGCGUAGGGAGUUUGGUU